AUACGGAGGGUGCGAGCGUUAAUCGGAAUUACUGGGCGUAAAGCGUACGUAGGCGGUUGGUUAAGUUAGAUGUGAAAGCCCCGGGCUUAACCUGGGAACUGCAUUAAAACUGGCGAACUAGAGUUGAGUAGAGGGGAGUGGAAUUUCAGGUGUAGCGGUGAAAUGCGUAGAGAUCUGAAGGAACACCAGUGGCGAAGGCGACUCCCUGGACUCGAACUGACGCUGAGGUACGAAAGCGUGGGUAGCAAACGGGAUUAGAAACCCCAGUAGUCC
rnacentral:rRNA from 1 species